rnacentral:rRNA from 1 species
AGGACGAACGCUGGCGGCAUGCCUAAUACAUGCAAGUCGAACGAAAUCCAUUCGGUGGCAACACCGAUGAAGAUUUAGUGGCGAACGGGUGCGUAACACGUGAGCAACCUGCCUCGGAGACCGGGAUAACAGUGGGAAACCGCUGCUAAUACCGGAUGUCCCCACGAUCUCGCAUGGGAUUGUGAGGAAAAGGAUUCCGCUCCAAGAGGGGCUCGCGGCCUAUCAGCUUGUUGGUGGGGUAAUGGCCUACCAAGGCGACGACGGGUAGCUGGUCUGAGAGGACGAUCAGCCACACUGGGACUGAGACACGGCCCAGACUCCUACGGGAGGCAGCAGUAGGGAAUCUUGCGCAAUGGGCGAAAGCCUGACGCAGCAAUGCCGCGUGGGGGAUGAAGGCCCUCGGGUUGUAAACUCCUUUUAGUGGGAACGAAAAUGACGGUACCCACAGAAAAAGCCCCGGCUAACUACGUGCCAGCAGCCGCGGUGAUACGUAGGGGGCAAGCGUUGUCCGGAUUCACUGGGCGUAAAGAGCUCGUAGGUGGUUUGGUAAGUCGGGUGUGAAACCUCCAGGCUCAACCUGGAGUCGCCACUCGAUACUGCCAUGGCUAGAGUCCGGUAGGGGAGCAUGGAAUUCCUGGUGUAGCGGUGAAAUGCGCAGAUAUCAGGAGGAACACCAGUAGCGAAGGCGGUGCUCUGGGCCGGUACUGACACUGAGGAGCGAAAGCGUGGGGAGCGAACAGGAUUAGAUACCCUGGUAGUCCACGCCGUAAACGUUGGGCACUAGGUGUGGGACCCUAUCGACGGGUUCCGUGCCGCAGCUAACGCAUUAAGUGCCCCGCCUGGGGAGUACGGCCGCAAGGCUA